CUCUCCAGCCAGCGCCGCGGUAGCGGUGGUAAAAGAGUACACUGGUGUAUGCGCGGGAGUGAGAGAUCCAUUUACUGUAACGGUUGCGCGAACGGGACAGACGAAAAAGCGGUAGUAGUGCUCGGCAGAACGAUGCGUGAGAGAGAGAGAGAGAGAGAGAGAGAGAACAGGUGACGAGCUGAGCGGGAUGGAGUUACUGCGGCCGGUGUUACGACAAAGAGGCGCGCUGUUGACCAGACAAAGAUGGCGUUAGGUGAGUGACUGAGAAAGAGAGAACUGGGUGCUCCGACCGCUCGAGCGAGAAACAAAGACAUACGUGAGCGAGAAUACUAUGUGCUAGACGCAACGUGUGCUGGUCGAACGGAGAGACGAAACUCCUUCGUUGUCACGAUGAAGACUUGCCACGCGAUGGCUGUCGGUCAGAGAGAGACGACGCGAGGCAAGCGGAAUGCGCACGCAUGCGCCGCACGCGAAACUUGGCACGCGGUCGCGCCCAAACGCAUCGCCUCGCGCGAUCCUCAUAUUGAUGUACUACGCUCUUGCACUCGCGACGAACCGAUUGCGGCUGUCGCAAAUGCGAGGGGAGUCGUAGGCGCUGGACGCGGACGACGGAUCGUCCUCGUGCGCUCACGUAUCAUGUCACGUAGAACGACGUAGAUUCUUUUCGAAAUGUCGUACGUGUGAGAAGAUCACAGCUUAAUUCAUACUUUUUCGAUCGCUGUUCUUCCUUGGAAAUGCAGUAAAGCACGCGUCGUGUACAAUUAAAGUUAAAAGUGCCGUGCAAAAUUACGCGACCAUUAUGUUUUAUUACGAGCGCGAUCAAUCCGGAAAGUUAAUCGUUUUCGCGAGUGUUGUGUUGUGCAAGUGCAACUAAAAACUUCAAGAGUAGAAGGAGAGGACUCAAGAAACAUUCAGCGAUGGGGCGGAGCGCAACUAGAAGAGAACUUCGACAAUGGAUAUAUUACUAGCCAUCCGUUCUAUCUUCUACAGUAAAUAGCAACUUCCGAUUUGCAGCCAAAUAGGAGGCAAUUGUCUGGAAGGGUGGCAGAGGAUAUAGGGAUACAACUGGUAAUAAGGCAAGGCCCGGAAAUGUUAUGGUACGACCCAGGGUGAAUCAUACGAAGAGAUGGAGUGUCCGCCGAAUAUGCCUUUGUGUGUCAAAUAUUCAAACAAAAUUUUUGGGGAUAAUCAACGUGGAUGCGCUAUUGAAAACUUCUGUGAAAGAGUGAAGGACGAUCACACGUUUACAGAAUGUCAUGAAUGCAACACAGAUCUGUGUAAUAAAUAAUGCAUCCUCUAAGAAUACGAUAUCAACUAUCACAAUAUUAACCUCAGAAUUGAUUAUGCUGUUUUGCUUAAUUUAAUAAUACUUAUAAUUUUCUUAUAGUUACUUAAUCUUGUAAUUUGUAAUAUCACGGUCUUUUUAAAAAGCUCAACUCUAAAACACACCAUACGGUGGAACAAAAUCUUGCUUCUGUCAUGUUUAAUCUGUAAGUGAACAAUUUUGGUCAAUCAUAACGAUCAUUGGUUUUGACUUCAAACUUUCCUUUCCUCCACUAUCCUGAACCUUUUUCUCAUUCAGCUUUUACACAGCAAGCAAUCGAAGUUUCAUAGGGGGUCUCUAUUAGAUCCUCUAAUGUGUUAUAAAAUUAAUAUUACUAUUAAAAUUAUCUAUUUCUGUUUUUAUAAUUAACAAAUUUUUUUAAUUCUACAAUAUUGUAAUCUAUAUUAAUUAUUGUAUUAUAUGUUACGCAAAAAUACAUAUUAAAAAAAUUUCUUUAAUCUUGUUACUUGCGAUGUGGUCUUUGUUUUUGUAUAUACAAUAAAUAAACCUAUAUUUGGAUUGAUAUUCAUAAAAUAUAUUUGUUUCAUCAAAAAUAAAUAAUAAAUAUAUAAACCAAUUUUAACUAAUAUUUACACACACACG